GAUGAACGCUGGCGGCGUGCCUAAUACAUGCAAGUCGAGCGAAUGGAUUAAGAGCUUGCUCUUAUGAAGUUAGCGGCGGACGGGUGAGUAACACGUGGGUAACCUGCCCAUAAGACUGGGAUAACUCCGGGAAACCGGGGCUAAUACCGGAUAACAUUUUGAACCGCAUGGUUCGAAAUUGAAAGGCGGCUUCGGCUGUCACUUAUGGAUGGACCCGCGUCGCAUUAGCUAGUUGGUGAGGUAACGGCUCACCAAGGCAACGAUGCGUAGCCGACCUGGGAGGGUGAUCGGCCACACUGGGACUGGGACACGGCCCAGACUCCUCCGGGAGGGAGCAGUAGGGAAUCUUCCGCAAUGGACGAAAGUCUGACGGAGCAACGCCGCGUGAGUGAUGAAGGCUUUCGGGUCGUAAAACUCUGUUGUUAGGGAAGAACAAGUGCUAGUUGAAUAAGCUGGCACCUUGACGGUACCUAACCAGAAAGCCACGGCUAACUACGUGCCAGCCGCCGCUGUAA
rnacentral:rRNA from 1 species